GUAGUCCACGCCCUAAACUAUGGACACUAGUCGUCGGAAUUUCCAAUAGUUUCGGUGACGUAGCUAACGCAUUAAGUGUCCCGCCUGGGAAGUACGGUCGCAAGAUUAAAACUCAAAGGAAUUGACGGGGGCCCGCACAAGCGGUGGAACAUGUGGUUCAAUUCGAUGCUACGCGAAGAACCUUACCUAGAUUUGACAUCCCAGGCUACCCUAAGAAAUUAGGGGUUCCCUUCGGGGACCUGGAGACAGGUGCUGCAUGGCUGUCGUCAGCUCGUGUUGUGAGAUGUUGGGUUAAGUCCCGCAACGAGCGCAACCCUCGCCACUAGUUACCAGCAUUAAGUUGGGGACUCUAGUGGGACCGCUUGGCUAUAAGCCAGA
rnacentral:rRNA from 1 species